rnacentral:rRNA from 1 species
CGGACGGGAUCUAGAUCUAAGCUUGCUUAGAUUUAGUGAGAGUGGCGCACGGGUGCGUAACGCGUGAGCAACCUACCCAUAUCAGGGGGAUAGCCCGGAGAAAUCCGGAUUAACACCGCAUGACACAACGACUCGGCAUCGAGAUGUUGUUAAAUAUUUAUAGGAUAUGGAUGGGCUCGCGUGACAUUAGCUAGUUGGUAAGGUAACGGCUUACCAAGGCUACGAUGUCUAGGGGCUCUGAGAGGAGAAUCCCCCACACUGGUACUGAGACACGGACCAGACUCCUACGGGAGGCAGCAGUAAGGAAUAUUGGUCAAUGGAGGGAACUCUGAACCAGCCAUGCCGCGUGCAGGAUGACUGCCCUAUGGGUUGUAAACUGCUUUUGUCCAGGAAUAACCACCACUACGUGUAGUGGCUUGAAUGUACUGGAAGAAUAAGGAUCGGCUAACUCCGUGCCAGCAGCCGCGGUAAUACGGAGGAUCCGAGCGUUAUCCGGAUUUAUUGGGUUUAAAGGGUGCGUAGGCGGCUCAUUAAGUCAGGGGUGAAAGACGGCAGCUCAACUGUCGCAGUGCCUUUGAUACUGAUGAGCUUGAAUGUGGUUGAAGAUGGCGGAAUGAGACAAGUAGCGGUGAAAUGCAUAGAUAUGUCUCAGAACUCCGAUUGCGAAGGCAGCUGUCUAAGUCAUUAUUGACGCUGAUGCACGAAAGCGUGGGGAUCGAACAGGAUUAGAUACCCUGGUAGUCCACGCCCUAAACGAUGAUAACUCGAUGUUGGCGAUACACAGUCAGCGUCUUAGCGAAAGCGUUAAGUUAUCCACCUGGGGAGUACGCCCGCAAGGGUGAAACUCAAAGGAAUUGACGGGGGCCCGCACAAGCGGAGGAGCAUGUGGUUUAAUUCGAUGAUACGCGAGGAACCUUACCCGGGCUUGAAAGUUACUGAAUUAUCUAGAGAUAGAUAAGUCCUUCGGGACAGGAAACUAGGUGCUGCAUGGCUGUCGUCAGCUCGUGCCGUGAGGUGUUGGGUUAAGUCCCGCAACGAGCGCAACCCCUAUGUUUAGUUGCCAGCAUGUAAUGAUGGGGACUCUAAACAGACUGCCAGCGUAAGCUGUGAGGAAGGUGGGGACGACGUCAAGUCAUCAUGGCCCUUACGUCCGGGGCUACACACGUGCUACAAUGGAUGGUACAGCGGGCAGCUACCUGGUAACAGGAUGCUAAUCUCGAAAAGCCAUUCACAGUUCGGAUUGAGGUCUGCAACUCGACCUCAUGAAGUUGGAUUCGCUAGUAAUCGCGUAUCAGCAAUGACGCGGUGAAUACGUUCCCGGGCCUUGUACACACCGCCCGUCAAGCCAUGAAAGUUGGGGGUGC